rnacentral:rRNA from 4 species
UCGGAAUCGAUAACCGCUGAAAGCAUCUAAGCGGGAAGCGAGCCCUGAGAUGAGUCAUCCCUGACCCCUUGAGGGUCCUAAAGGGCCGUUGGAGACCACAACGUUGAUAGGUGGGGUGUGUAAGCGCGGCGACGUGUUGAGCUAACCCAUACUAAUUACCCGUGAGGCUUAACCAU